GAUGAACGCUAGCGGCAGGCUUAAUACAUGCAAGUCGAGGGGCAGCACGAAUAGCAAUAUUUGGUGGCGACCGGCGCACGGGUGCGUAACACGUAUACAACCUACCUAUAACAGGGGGAUAGCCUUUCGAAAGAGAGAUUAAUACCCCGUAAUACAUGAGACGGCAUCGUUUUAUGUGGAAAGCUCAGGUGGUUAUAGAUGGGGAUGCGUCUGAUUAGCUAGUUGGUGAGGUAAUGGCUCACCAAGGCGACGAUCAGGAGGGGAACUGAGAGGACUACCCCCCACACGGGUACUGAGACACGGACCAGACUCCUACGGGAGGCAGCAGUAAGGAAUAUUGGUCAAUGGGCGCAAGCCUGAACCAGCCAUGCCGCGUGCAGGAAGACGGCCCUAUGGGUUGUAAACUGCUUUUGAACAAGAGAAAACCUCGGUACGUGUACCGAGCUGAUAGUAUUGUUAGAAUAAGCAUCGGCUAACUUCGUGCCAGCCGCCGCCGUAAGAC
rnacentral:rRNA from 1 species